AUUAUCAUCCCCGAUAUGGAGGCGGGGAACCCAAAACACCAAGAGCAGUGGGUGCUUAGGAAGCCACAGAGCUGGGAGUAGAGCCCCAGCAGCCUGAUCCAGAGCCCCUGUUCUUCACCACCACCCUGCCCUCCUCCAGGGAGCACAAUGGGGGUCCCGGAGCCUCUUUCCAUCUGUUGGAUCUCGGUGAGAGAUCUUACAUUUGGAAAGAAGUCAAGGUAUAGUCUAAC
rnacentral:lncRNA from 1 species